UUUUAAAUGAGACUUCGGUGGAUUUUAGAAUUCUUAGUGGCGGACGGGUGAGUAACGCGUGGGCAACCUGCCCUGUACAGGGGGACAACAGCUGGAAACGGCUGCUAAUACCGCAUAAGCGCACAGUAUCGCAUGAUGCUGUGUGAAAAACUCCGGUGGUACAGGAUGGGCCCGCGUUGGAUUAGGUAGUUGGUGAGGUAACGGCUCACCAAGCCGACGAUCCAUAGCCGACCUGAGAGGGUGACCGGCCACAUUGGGACUGAGACACGGUCCAAACUCC
rnacentral:rRNA from 1 species